ensembl:ncRNA lncRNA:CR44926 long non-coding RNA:CR44926
GUACAAAAAACACAAAAAAAAAAUCACAAAAAAUACGAGCUGGGUCGCCGGAAAGGAGGAAGGCAAAAAAUCAGCUUCAAUUGAACAGUUAAACUUCCAUUAAUUGUGCGCCCGGUCAGAGCCACGUGGACCAGACUCCUUCCGCUGGCCAAUCCAGUCCAGUCCAGUCCAAUCCAAUCCAAUCGCAAUCGCAAUCGCAUUCCAUGCCAACUGUGUCAGUUUCGAAUUACAAAUGCAUGGACUGCUUACCCAAACAGGUCGGCCUGCAAAUUCGCGGUGAAUUGUGCAUUGGUAGUGGAAGCGGCGCCUCGGGGGCAAAUCAAUUAGAUGAUUGUAUGAUUAGGAACAAAAACAGGCGCCCAGGAAAUUAACCAACAUUUGGGCAGCUAAUUGGCUGCCUAAAUGGCUCAAGCUGCUCGUGUGGAAAUCCAUUGAGGGUCCUGCUCCGAAUCCAAUGAACCGCACAGCGUAAAGUGUCGUCUUCCACACUUCAUUGAAGGCUGUCAAAAAAUUUUCAAUUUACCAAAUUAGUCCGGCAGAUGUGUGGGCUCGAAUACGGAAGGAUCCCAGGACACCGGACGAAAAGUUCUGCCGAUUGUACGUUUUUCAUAUGCCU